rnacentral:rRNA from 1 species
GAUGAACGCUGACAGAAUGCUUAACACAUGCAAGUCUACUUGAACUUCGGUUUGGGUGGCGGACGGGUGAGUAACGCGUAAAGAACUUGCCUCACAGUUAGGGACAACAUUUGGAAACGAAUGCUAAUACCUGAUAUUAUGAUUUUAGGGCAUCCUAGGAUUAUGAAAGCCAUAUGUGCUGUGAGAGAGCUUUGCGUCCCAUUAGCUAGUUGGAGAGGUAACGGCUCACCAAGGCGAUGAUGGGUAGCCGGCCUGAGAGGGUGAACGGCCACAAGGGGACUGAGACACGGCCCUUACUCCUACGGGAGGCAGCAGUGGGGAAUAUUGGACAAUGGACCAAAAGUCUGAUCCAGCAAUUCUGUGUGCACGAUGACGUUUUUCGGAAUGUAAAGUGCUUUCAGUUGGGAAGAAAAAAAUGACGGUACCAACAGAAGAAGAGACGGCUAAAUACGUG